rnacentral:rRNA from 1 species
CAGUAGCCGCGGUAAUACGGAGGAUCCGAGCGUUAUCCGGAUUUAUUGGGUUUAAAGGGUGCGUAGGCGGCCUUGUAAGUCAGGGGUGAAAGACGGUAGCUCAACUAUCGCAGUGCCUUUGAUACUGCAGGGCUUGAAUGUACUAGAGGCAGGCGGAAUGUGACAAGUAGCGGUGAAAUGCAUAGAUACGUCACAGAACACCAAUUGCGAAGGCAGCUUGCUAUGGUAUGAUUGACGCUGAGGCACGAAAGCGUGGGGAUCAAACAGGAUUAGAUACCCCCGUAGUCCCUGUCUCUUAUAC